AUAGGAAAACCCGUGGAGCAAUCAAGUCGUUGCAAUUAAAACGUUACAUAAUAAGUUUUAUAAGUAGGACGUAAAUCCUCACCAUUGUGCAAUUUCAGUUGUAGCCUCAACGAUCUAGUCGUGUAGCCAUUUGUACUGAAAUCACUGAAAUCACUGAAUUUGUAUUAGUGUAAUAUUGCUUUGUGUUAGCUUUCUAAAAUUCUGUUCGUGUUAAAAUGACAGUUUAUUAAGAAAACUCUUGAGCUAUAAAACGCUUCAAAUCACAGCUAAGCGGAUGAAACUGCGCAGAUCUUGUAGUUUAUAAAUGGUCAACUAAAUACAACAUAACAACCAUAUCCUUCAGGUUCCAAGUGUAAGGUGAUCCUGUUAAAUAUUCCGAGCUCGUCGCCGCUGGAAUGGCGGCCGGGAACACUUUCAGGUGUUCGCUGAAUUUCGGGACCGGCAAUAAAACGUUUAAAUAUCUUUUUAUGACGUAAAAAUGCUUUUUUUACAUAUUAUGUUCUCGUUUUAGUGCGGCUACAUUUUACGUUGUAAUAAUAUUACUUCAAUAUGUAUUAAAUAGAUAUAGUAGCUA